rnacentral:misc_RNA from 1 species
UUAAAGAUAAGCGCUUAUUACCGCCCGCUGCGACCAGCUAUUUACAGCCAACUGUGGGCGGCGCCGGCACUUCUUUCAGUGACGAUUAGUCGGCCGCUAUGCGACUACGUUUCUUUCUUCGUCUCCGCGCCGCAAGAGGAAUUGAGCCUCUUCUUCUUAAUGUCAGUGUCGAGUAAGAUAGUUGAAUGGAUGGAGAGAGGUCACAAAUGUCUUCAGGUGGAAAUACGUACACUACCACGCAUUAAAGUAUCCAGCUUGUAGUAACAAUAUUUGAGUUUGAUUAAAGCGUACAGAGUGUAAUGAUCGGGCUACGGAUAUUUAUGCAGACUCAUACUUUUAUCAAUAUAUCGCAAUUUAGAAACGUAAAACCGUAUUUUCGCCCCGGUCUGAGGAUCGUCUGGUGCCGCCGUCUUGAUCCUCUCGCGACUUACACGAAGACUGGAUUUUUGUUUAUGCUGAUAUUGGUUUGACACGUUGCUCACCGAUUGUCUGGAUUGUUCCGAGGAUUUUAUGUAGCUGGAAGAACAGUUUGAUGGUAUUGGAGUUGAGAGAGACUUACCUGGAACAGAGAGAUAAUAGUACAAGUUAGGAUUUAGCGUGAAUGAUCGUGAUUCUUAUUUGAG